AUGCGCUUUGAAACUUUCAAAGAAGCAAAGGACUUCUACAACGUCUAUGCAAAGCACGCGGGUUUUGCUGUCAGGGAAGGCUCCAAGGUUGAGACCAGAGUCUACCUUUAUUGCACGUGCUAUGGAGUCUAUGAAUUGAAGGUGUCAGAAGCAAAUAGACAGCGGAACAAGACGACAGCCAGGACUAACUGCAGGGCUAAAAUGAGGCUGAAGAGGGAAAAGGAUGGAACACUUGUCGUAAAAGAGAUAGUCUUGGAACACAACCACAUGCUACAGCUCACCCCCCAAAUGCUUGUCUUCUUGCACUCCCACAAAAACUUUAACAAAACAAUCUUGGAGUACGUCUAGUACCUGCAGUUCAAAGGCAUUGAACACGCGCAAAUCAUGAGCAUACUGGGCGGCGAUGACCCCGGUAGCUACUUCCUCAAAAUGAAUGCCAAAGACCUGAUUAACAUCAAAGCAAAGAAUUCAAGGAUGGAUGAUGUGGACGAUGUCCUAAAGACUGUCAACUUCUUUAGGGAGAUGAAAGCUAUAAACAGGGAAUUCUUCUGUGACAUGCAACUUGACGCAAGCUGCCGAGGGGCGUAUCAGGACUUCGGUGACUACGUAACGUUUGACACCACAUAUAAGACCAACAAGUACCAUAUGCCACUUGGGGUGUUUGUGGGUACUAAUAACCACUUACAAACUACAUUCUUUGGUUUUGCCCUGAUAAGAGAUGAGGAUGCAGAUUUAUUCAAAUGGCUGUUCAAGACAUUUUUAAGGUGCAUGUGAGGGAAGGCUCCUACAUGCAUCCUCACAGACCAGUGCCCGUCAAUGGCUUUGGCGAUCCCAGAUGCUUUCAAGAACACAGUACACAAGCUGUGCCGCUGGCACAUUAUGAAGAAGUACAGGGAACACCUCGCAUACCUGUACAAUCUGCACGAAGACUUUAAGGAUGAAUUCACAUCAAUCCUCAACUGGCCCCUCAUGCCAACUGAGUUUGAGGCUGCCUGGAAAAGACUCAUGGAUAGGUACAACCUCCAUGAUGAUGCCACGAUGGUGGGCAUGUGGAACGAGCGUGAGAGAUGGAUAUCAGCCUACUUCAAAGAAAUUUUCUGCGCCAAAAUAGGGGCAGAGGAAGCAAAGGCACAAGACGACCAGACCAACGCCAAGCCAGAAACACAAAGAGCAGAAGGGCGAGAUGGACUCCCCCGGCAAGGCCCUUGCCGGGGCGGCCUCCACAGCCCCGGUAAGAACCUUGCCGGGGCAACUCGCCCAACACCAGCAGGGCUGCCACCCUUGAGCCUGAGAGUUCCGACGCCUUCAACCACACUGGAAUCAAAGCUUGGGAGACGCCUCCGUGGUGGCAUGCAGAUCUUUGUGAAAACCAAUAGCAUACAAGACUAG
rnacentral:rRNA from 1 species